rnacentral:rRNA from 1 species
GAUGAACGCUGGCGGCGUGCCUAAUACAUGCAAGUCGAGCGAACGGACGAGAAGCUUGCUCUUCUGAUGUUAGCGGCGGACGGGUGAGUAACACGUGGAUAACCUACCUAUAAGACUGGGAUAAUUUCGGGAAACCGGAGCUAAUACCGCCUAAUAUUUUGAACCGCAUGGAUCAAAAGUGAAAGACGGUCUUGCUGUCACUUAUAGAUGGAUCCGCGCUGCAUUAGCUAGUUGGUAAGGUAACGGCUUACCAAGGCAACGAUGCAUAGCCGACCUGAGAGGGUGAUCGGCCACACUGGAACUGAGACACGGUCCAGACUCCUACGGGAGGCAGCAGUAGGGAAUCUUCCGCAAUGGGCGAAAGACUGACGGAGCAACGCCGCGUGAGUGAUGAAGGUCUUCGGAUCGUAAAACUCUGUUAUUAGGGAAGAACAUAUGUGUAAGUAACUGUGCACAUCUUGACGGUACCUAAUCAGAAAGCCACGGCUAACUACGUG